AGCCAUCAGUAAAAAUCUCUCUCCUCCUUCGUUUAUGUUUUAUUUUUUCCAAAGUCAUUUGAAGAUGAGAAGCGAACGAAGCAAAGCGAAGAGAAGAGAAAGUAGCGUCACAGCCUUCACUAGUUCGUAUUCACCGUUCGCCCACCGUUCGCCGAUCGCCAUUACCGCCAUUCGCCGGUCACUGUUCGCUGUUUUCUGUCCCCUGGCCGUCCCUUCCCCUCCCCUCUUUCAUGAGUGCGAACCCUAAUUCCCCUUCCAGCGACUUUUUCUUCUCUUUAAACUCAACACCGAUAGUACCGGAAACAAUGCUUGCUAUGUUGAGCAAAUUGAUGGCAUUCCUAAGUUACAAGGUGGUGUCUCCUCUUCUAGAAAAAUGGGCACCGAUAAUGGGAGGCUCGGAUUGGAGACUGACAAAGACCAAUCCUUGAAGACAAGAGACUUCUUAAGUGGUAGUGCUCAAUUUUUUAUUCACUAUCUUAUACUUUCUAAUUUCUGAAGCAUUCAGAGUUGUGCAGGUACCCUAAAAUUUGGACAGGUAUUUCUCUAAACCCUUAUGAAUGAGCUUUACUAUCUAAAUUCCGGAGGCACAAUUUGGACAGUUUUCAAGAUGUGGGCAUUCACAACUUCCCUGAGGAUAUCUUGAGAGGCAGUAGAAGUGAAGCAUGAAUUGAUUGAAUUGCAAAAGCAUAUUGCUUUUCUUCUUGCUUGCUAUGACUACAAUAACGAAGAAUUUCAGAGUAUUUGUAAGAUUGGAACGGGAUUUACUGAAGACGUGCUCGAACCGCGUUCUAAAAGUCUUGGUUCUCAAGUGAUUCCAGAGCCAAAGUUAUACUAUCGAUAUGGAGAUACAAUGAAGCCUGAUGUCUGGCUUGAAGCUAGUGAGGUGUAGGAGGUGAAAGCUGCAGAUUUGACCAUUAGCCCAGUUCACUAUUCCAGUUGCAAGCUCAGUUCUUGAUCCCAUCCCCAUUCUCAAAAUGGUUGCUGCUACCACUCCUAUAGUUGGGUCCCAUGCUUGGGUUGAGGAUUCUGAAGUAGCAUGGAUAGAUAGUGAAGUCUUGGAGGUUAAUGGAGAAGAAGUUAAAGUCUCUUGCACUUCAGGGAAGACGACACUGAAGUUCUGCCAAGUGGAGUAGACGAUAUGACAAAGCUUGCAUACCUACACGAACCUGGUGUACUAGAAAAUCUGAGAUCAAGAUAUGAUAUCAAUGAAAUUUACGGGAUAGUUGAGGAGAGAAUGGAGGUGGUGCAAGCGCGUAAACAACGAAUGAUUUCUGGUGCCCUGAUUGAUCAAGAGGUUCGAACUGCACGGAUAGAGGAGCUGAAGAUGCAUUGUUAGGUUUACAAGUUUGGAUUAAGUUGGAAUUUUUUAAAUUUACAUAUGGAUUAUGACUAUGUAAUUAAAACUUGUAGAAUUCAGUUUUUGAAAUACAUUGUUGCUAUUUUUGUAAAACUUGCGGGAUUGAAUUUGGAUUUGUUGAAAAACAAUGUCAUUUAUGGAGAAUUCAACUUUUGAUAAUAGAAAUUUUGAUGUUGGAGAGA